rnacentral:rRNA from 1 species
GGAAAUUAGUGGUGUAGGGGUAAAAUCCGUAGAUAUCACUAGGAAUACCGAAAGCGAAGGCGAUCUUCUGGGACAUUACUGACGCUGAGGCGUGAAAGCGUGGGGAGCAAACAGGAUUAGAUACCCUGGUAGUCCACGCCCUAAACGAUGAAUGCUAGUCGUCGGAGAGCUCGUCUCUUCGGUGAUGCAGUUAACACAUUAAGCAUUCCGCCUGGGGAGUACGGUCGCAAGAUUAAAACUCAAAGGAAUAGACGGGGACCCGCACAAGUGGUGGAGCAUGUGGUUUAAUUCGAAGAUACGCGAAGAACCUUACCUGGCCUUGACAUUGAUAGAAUUCGGUAGAGAUACUGAAGUGCCUUUCGGGGAACUUGAAAACAGGUGCUGCACGGCUGUCGUCAGCUCGUGUCGUGAGAUGUUGGGUUAAGUCCCGCAACGAGCGCAACCCUCGUCCUUAGUUGCUAACAGUUCGGCUGAGCACUCUAAGGAGACUGCCUUCGUAAGGAGGAGGAAGGUGAGGACGACGUCAAGUCAUCAUGGCCCUUACGGCCAGGGCUACACACGUGCUACAAUGGGGCGUACAGAGAGUUGCGAUACCGCGAGGUGGAGCUAAUCUCAUAAAGCGUCUCUCAGUUCGGAUAGGAGUCUGCAACUCGACUCCUUGAAGCUGGAAUCACUAGUAAUCGUAGAUCAGCAAUGCUACGGUGAAUACGUUCCCGGGUCUUGUACUCACCGCCCGUCACACCAUGGGAGUUGAUUUCGCCCGAAGCGGGGAUGCUAAACUGGCUACCCUCUACGGCGGAAUUAGCGACUGGGGUGAAGUCGUAACAAGGUA